rnacentral:rRNA from 1 species
GGCCGCGGGAAUUCGAUUCAGGCCUAACACAUGCAAGUCGAACGGCAGCACGGGUGCUUGCACCUGGUGGCGAGUGGCGAACGGGUGAGUAAUAUAUCGGAACGUACCUUAUUGUGGGGGAUAACGCAGCGAAAGCUGUGCUAAUACCGCAUAAUCCCUAAGGGGGAAAGCGGGGGACCGUAAGGCCUCGCGCAAUUAGAGCGGCCGAUACCUGAUUAGCUAGUUGGUGAGGUAAAGGCUCACCAAGGCAACGAUCAGUAGCUGGUCUGAGAGGACGAUCAGCCACACUGGGACUGAGACACGGCCCAGACUCCUACGGGAGGCAGCAGUGGGGAAUAUUGGAAAGUGGGGGCAACCCUGAUCCAGCCAUGCCGC